UACGUAGGGGGCAAGCGUUGUCCGGAUUUAUUGGGCGUAAAGAGCGUGUAGGCGGUUAUACAGGUCCGCUGUGAAAACUGGAGGCUUAACCUCCCAGACGUCGGGUGGAAACCGUAUGACUAGAGUCCGGAAGAGGAGAGUGGAAUUCCGGGUGUAGGCGGUGGAAUGCGUAGAGAUCCGGAAGAACACCGGUGGCGAAGGCGGCCGUGCUGGGCGAGCUUUGAGCUGACACUGAGGCGCGACAGCGUGGGGGAGCAAACAGG
rnacentral:rRNA from 1 species